CACGUAGGGCGCAAGCGUUGUCCGGAAUUAUUGGGCGUAAAGAGCUCGUAGGCGGUCUGUUGCGUCCGCUGUGAAAACCCGGGGCUUAACCCUGGGCUGGCAGUGGAUACGGACAGACUAGAGGUAGGUAGGGAGAAUGGAAUUCCCGGUGUAGCGGUGAAAUGCGCAGAUAUCGGGAGGAACACCCGUGGCGAAGGCGGCUCUCUGGGACGGUACUGAACGCUGAGACGCGAAAGCGUGGGGAGCGAACAGG
rnacentral:rRNA from 1 species